UACGGAAGGUCCGGGCGUUACCCGGAUUUAUUGGGUUUAAAGGGAGCGCAGGCGGGACCUUAAGCGUGACGUGAAAUGUAGUUGCUCAACAUCUGCACUGCGUCGCGAACUGGGGUUCUUAGUGCAUUCGACGUCAGCGGAAUUCGUGGUGUAGCGGUGAAAUGCUUAGAUAUCACGAAGAACUCCGAUUGCGAAGGCAGCCAACAAGGCCUUUACUGACGCUAAAGCUCGAAGGUGCGGGUAUCGAACA
rnacentral:rRNA from 1 species